rnacentral:rRNA from 1 species
GGCCUAACACAUGCAAGUCGAGGGGCAGCACGUCUUCGGAUGGUGGCGACCGGCGCACGGGUGCGUAACGCGUAUGCAACCUACCCUGUACUGAGGUAUAGCCCGGAGAAAUUCGGAUUAAUCCCUCAUAGUAUUAAGAGAUCGCAUGAUUUUUUAAUUAAAGGUUACGGUACAGGAUGGGCAUGCGUCCUAUUAGCUAGAUGGUAAGGUAACGGCUUACCAUGGCUACGAUAGGUAGGGGGCCUGAGAGGGUGGUCCCCCACACUGGUACUGAGACACGGACCAGACUCCUACGGGAGGCAGCAGUGAGGAAUAUUGGUCAAUGGGCGCAAGCCUGAACCAGCCAUGCCGCGUGCAGGAAGAAUGCCCUAUGGGUUGUAAACUGCUUUUAUUUAGGAAUAAACCUUUCUACGUGUAGAAAGCUGAAGGUACUGAAUGAAUAAGCACCGGCUAACUCCGUGCCAGCAGCCGCGGUAAUACGGAGGGUGCAAGCGUUAUCCGGAAUCAUUGGGUUUAAAGGGUCCGCAGGCGGAUCUAUAAGUCAGUGGUGAAAUCCUAUCGCUUAACGAUAGAAACUGCCAUUGAUACUGUAAGUCUUGAAUUCGGUCC